CUGAGGGGAGCAUUAUGCUUUAGAAACCUAACUAGUUGAUGGUAGGUAUGAUGUUCUAUUGAGAAACUUGAGAAGGGCACUCCACCCCCACACAGGUUCCUCAAAUAAAGCUCCAUUUUAUCCUGAAGGGAGACUUGGAUUUUCUCCAGAAUCUUUAUAAAAAUUUUGCAAAAAGACUCAUCACCCUAAACCACCAAAUAUGGCACCAAUAGUUCUGAAGUGAACAAUUUUCAGAGAUACUCAGCCCCAGUCUGCCACAAAGUGCAAAUGCAGUGGGGGUCGUCCUCUCACUGGCCUCAGAGGACCUCUGGCCCAGCCCAGGUGGCUCAGAAGGGCCAGUGGGCACUGGGCCUGAGAAGACCCCCACCUGCUCACCCAACGGCAGCUCCUGCCAGCUCAGCUGGGCUGGGCCUGGGGUCCCUGGGUCACCACAUGGCCCCCUCCCACAGGGCCUUAGAGGCCACUUCUGCAUCUCUGGCACUUUCUGUUGGAGCAACACGGGUCCCUCCAUCGGGGGAUGGAUGCGGCCGCCAGUGUAUUCCCUUCCCUGAGAGUGGGGCCUCCCCAAGAGCUGACUCUGCACCUCCUCCUUAGCCCUCAUGGGGCCCCAAGACAUCUGAGAGUGUUGGGUGUAAGUGCGAAAUAAAGAAAUCCUCCCAGAAAAAAAAAAUUAUCGGCCUCAGAAAAGGAAAUCUCAAAAUGGCCCCAUGGGGUUACUAGUCACAGUUGGUUAAGAUUUUAUACAGAGAUGAUCUCAUUUGACCCCUAUGAAGACUCUGUAAGGUGAAAAUUAUUUUGUAACGAAUUUUAGCACCUCCCAUGCCCUUUAUGUGCAGUUUGACUUAUUGAAGUUUUUGGACUCUAAGGACAUGGAAGUAAUAAGACAUCCAAUGGACUGUCAGGACUCUGAGCUCAUUUGAGUCCUGCUAUGCUCAAUCUGGGAAGCUCAUACUGGUGUACAAUGCAGCAGUUUACAAAGCAAUCCCAAUGGGGUUGUGUACUAGCUGCUUGUUUGUUUGCAAGUGCAAUUCCAGAUGUUGAUUUUUCAUCUAGUCAUCC
rnacentral:lncRNA from 1 species